rnacentral:miRNA from 1 species
AGAUCAUGUGGUAGCUUCAUC